GGAAGUAAAAGUCAUAACAAGGUCUCCGUUGGUGAACCAGCGGAGGGAUCAUUACAGGAUCGAAAGACUCCUAUAACCCCUGUGAACUUACUACAAAUACGUUGCUUCGGCGGGUGCCCCGGGUCUCCCGGGGCGUUCAGCCCGCCGGCAGCCUUCAAAUUCUGUUUCUUUGCGUUGGCAUCUCGAGUAUACAAAAAUAAGUUAAAACUUUCAACAACGGAUCUCUUGGUUCUG
rnacentral:misc_RNA from 1 species